rnacentral:lncRNA from 1 species
UGGUUCACACCUUUGCAAAUCGUUGCAGGGUCUACAAAAAAUAAAGAGUCUGAAUAAAUGUGACUUUGAGCUAUUCGGUGCUAGUAGAGAGUUCAUUCAGGCCAAAGCUGUAGGAACCAAUAUUUUGAAGUUGCCUUCGGAUAAAAUUUUGGAACUAAAGACCUGUUAUUAUAUCCCUAAUGUCGUUAUAAAUAUUAUUUUUGUUCCAUUGUUAUUGGA